UCCCCCUUAGCUCAGUGGUAGAGCGCGUCACUAGUAUUCAUCGUGCUAUGACGAGGUCAGUCGUUCAAGUCGGCUAGGGGGAA